rnacentral:rRNA from 1 species
CGGGGGGAGCAAGCGUUGUUCGGAUUUACUGGGCGUAAAGGGCGCGUAGGCGGCCUCUGCAAGUCGACUGUGAAAUCUCCGGGCUUAACCCGGAAAGGUCAGCCGAUACUGCAGGGCUAGAGUGCAGAAGGGGCAACUGGAAUUCUCGGUGUAGCGGUGAAAUGCGUAGAUAUCGAGAGGAACACCUGCGGCGAAGGCGGGUUGCUGGGCUGACACUGACGCUGAAGUGCGAAAGCUAGGGGAGCGAACGGGAUUAGAUACCCCGGUAGUCCUAGCCUUAAACGAUGAAUGCUUGGUGUCUGGGGUUUUAUAGUCCCCGGGUGCCGUCGCUAACGCUUUAAGCAUCCCGCCUGGGGAGUACGGUCGCAAGACUG